CUGAGCUUGUUUCAGCUCACUAAAAUUGGAAUGAUACAGAGAGGAUUAGGAUGGCUCUUGCACAAGAAUGAAAUGCAAAUUCAUGAAACAUUCCGUAUUUUA